rnacentral:piRNA from 1 species
UGAGUCUGGUCCCUGGCUGGAGCAU